AAGAUUAAUUGAUUCGUGACAAAAUAGUGCUGGGAAUUGCAAAUGAGGAUACACGCCGGCGUCUACUGAGAGAGAGACUUAACAUUAGUAACUGCCAUUGAAAUGUGCCGCACUGCUGAAGUCACUGACAUGAGAAUGAGAGCAAUGGAAAUCGAAACCCCACGCUCCGACGUUGAUACCGUUCACGCUGUUGCUAGGCAGACAUUCAGACUAAACCAAUCGAGGCAGAGCAAUUCACCACGAACGGUGAACACAGAGAGCCCCGUAGCAUGUAAAUACUGUGGGAAUACACACACACGUGGCAAAGAGCACUGCCCUGCCUACGGAAAACCAUGCAGAGCUUGUGGAACUAAUAAUCAUUUUGCAAAAGUGUGUCUCAAAAGCAAAAGAAGGGUGAGUGAGGGCAAGAUUCACUGUGUUGAUGAUGUCACUCAAUGUUCAGAGCUGAAAAGUGAAAGUGACAUUUACAUGCAUGAAUCCAUUGGGGCUGUACACUCAAGAGGGAAGAAAUGGUUUGUGACACUACGAUUACACAACAAGCAACAACAAUGUCAACUGGAUUCUGGUGCUACAUGCAACGUAAUGAGCUACAAAGACAAAAUCAAUCUGGCACCUGACACACAUCUAUUGCCCAGCGAUACUAGACUAAAGCUCUACUCAGGAGAGCUAAUGAGCUCUAUGGGCACCUUUGAGACCAAAUGUGUUAUUCGGGGACGCAAACACAAGCUGGGGUUUGAGAUUGUAAAAACCAGUCAACAUCCUCUCCUCUCAGGCUCUACAUGCGAACGCCUGGGACUGAUGCAGUUCACUGUACCAAAUGACCUGCACAUUGUGGAUCAUGUCCAGCAUGGACCCCUGUCCAAACAACAACUACUCAGCAGAUAUGACGAUGUAUUCAACAUGCCCGUUGAAUCAGUGCCUGGGGAGGUACACUUUGAAGUGGAUGAGAGCAUCACUCCAGUCCAGUGUGCUCCUCGCAAUGUGCCCAUUGCAAUGAAAGUGGCUGUGAAGGCCCAGCUGGACAAGUAUGAGGCCGAUGGCCACAUGACAUCUGUGACUGAACCAACUGACUGGAU
rnacentral:lncRNA from 1 species